rnacentral:ncRNA from 1 species
UGUAAACUUGUACUCUAAUUGAUGUCGUCCUUAAGUGUUUAUUAUAAUUUACUUUUAGUUUUUGGGUAAAAUUAGAGAUUCUGUUAAUUGUUAUUUAAGGACAAAAAAUUUAGUGAGCAAGCCAGAUUAGUACCUGGUUAGAUAAAAGUUAAAAGAGCAGGAGUAAGGUUAUAUUUAAACUGUAAGAAUAUUGGCAGGUUUUUAAAUUAUCUUUGGAGGUUGAAUAGUAAUUGAGAGCCCUCAUUAUCUACUUUUAUUUUAGGCGCAUGUAUGAUCGUUUAUUUUAUUCUUGAGGAUUGUAAUUUUAGUUUAUAGCUAUAAAAAUAGAUAUAUACUUGGUCUAUAUUAAAGUUUAUUUUGACCUACAAUAUUAUAUUUUUUGGAUAAUAUUUGUAGUAAAUAUUUGAAAUUGUAAAAGACAGUAAAAUCUUCUUAAUGUAGAUUUGAAGUUUAUUUAAAAACGGUACAAAUCAUCCAUCAAUUGCCCAUAGG